GACGAACGCUGGCGGCGUGCCUAACACAUGCAAGUCUUGGGAGAAAGAGGUAGCAAUAUCUUGAGUAAACCGGCGCAAGGGUGAGUAACACGUAGGCAAUCUACCCAGAGGACGGGAAUAACUUCGAGAAAUCGAGGCUAAUGCCCGAUGAUUUUCCGAUUUAGCAUUAGAUUGGAAUUAAAUACCGUAAGGUGCCCUUGGAUGAACCUGCGUCCCAUUAGGUAGUUGGUGAGGUAAUGGCCCACCAAGCCGACGAUGGGUAGCUGGUCUGAGAGGACGAUCAGCCACACUGGAACUGAGACACGGUCCAGACUCCUACGGGAGGCAG
rnacentral:rRNA from 1 species